UUAUUCAACAUGUUCUAAUUCUGAUUUGCUGCAUAUAGAGAACACAUGUACAAGUAUGCACAAACUAUGAUAGGGAAGUGUUUGAUUUCCUGAUUGUGAUUGGAUGUGAAAAGAAUACUUUUGGGUCACAUCGACCGUGUAGGUUGUCUCAGGGUACUACAGGUUCCCCUCUCAGUAAGACCCCUAACAUACAUCCAUUCAUGCCAAAAAGAGUGCUUAGUAAGUUAAUAUACAUGUAGCUUGUUUCUCAAUUGUUGUAAAAUAGAUAAAGUUUACUUACAGGAAUGUACAAAUUAUUAUAGUUAGGCAUCUCAAAACAGAGGGACACUCCCUCACACUACCAGAACACAGAUUAUAUUUGGUGAGAUGAACCUACACAUUUUUGUAUAUGAAUAAUGCAAGCCAUUCAAGCAGUGAAUAUCUUCGAAAAUAUGGAUAUAUAUAUUUGGGCAACAUCACUGCCUUCAAUCAUCAGUCUGUUAGUGACUGGUGAGUGACUAGUGUGACUUCCAUCAUUUGGUCACUGACUAGUCAUUACUCACACUAACAGGAUUGAUGGAGGCAAAUCUGUGACUUAGCCGAAACACUGCCAACACCAGGUAUAUCUAGAUAGCUGAAACACUGCCAACACCAGGUAUAUCUAGAUAGUCGAAACACUGCCAACACCAGGUAUAUCUAGAUAGUCGAAACACUGCCAACACCAGGUAUAUCUAGAUAGCCGAAACACUGCCAACACCAGGUAUAUCUAGAUAGCUGAAACACUGCCAACACCAGGUAUAUCUAGAUAGUCGAAACACUGCCAACACCAGGUAUAUCUAGAUAGUCGAAACACUGCCAACACCAAGUAUAUCUAGAUAGUCGAAACACUGCCAACACCAGGUAUAUCUAGAUAGCUGAAACACUGCUAACACCAGGUAUAUCUAGAUAGCUGAAACACUGCCAACACUUGGUAUAUCUAGAUAGCUGAAACACUGCCAACACCAGGUAUAUCUAGAUAGCUGAGACUGCCAACACCAGGUAUAUCUAGAUAGCCGAAACACUGCCAACACCAGGUAUAUCUAGAUAGCCGAAACACUGCCAACACCAGGUAUAUCUAGAUAGCUGAAACACUGCCAACACCAGGUAUAUCUAGAUAGCUGAAACACUGCCAACACCAGGUAUAUCUAGAUAGCUGAAACACUGCCAACACCAGGUAUAUCUAGAUAGUCGAAACACUGCCAACACCAGGUAUAUCUAGAUAGCUGAAACACUGCCAACACCAGGUAUAUCUAGAUAGUCGAAACACUGCCAACACCAGGUAUAUCUAGAUAGCCGAAACACUGCCAACACCAGGUAUAUCUAGAUAGCCGAAACACUGCCAACACCAGGUAUAUCUAGAUAGCCGAAACACUGCCAACACCAGGUAUAUCUAGAUAGCCGAAACACUGCCAACACCAGGUAUAUCUAGAUAGUCGAAACACU